rnacentral:rRNA from 1 species
UACAGAGACUGCAAGCGUUAUUCGGAUUCACUGGGCGUAAAGGGUGCGCAGGCGGCCGUGUGUGUGAGGCGUGAAAGCCCGGAGCUCAACUCCGGAAUUGCACCUCAAACUACACGGCUAGAGCAUUGGAGAGGGAAGCGGAAUUCACGGUGUAGCAGUGAAAUGCGUAGAUAUCGUGAGGAACACCAGGGGCGAAGGCGGCUUCCUGGACAAUUGCUGACGCUCAGGCACGAAAGCGUGGGGAGCAAAAGGG